rnacentral:lncRNA from 1 species
CCAAGAAGAAAGGGAAGGCUGCGCGAUCACGUAUAGAUUUUGAUACAAUCAAGAGUUGAUCGUGAUCUAAAUUUUCAGAUUGAGAGCAUGUGGAGAUCCUCUCGAGAAAAAGGAUCCAGAUCUGAGUAGAGCAAUCUAGAUCUAUCCCAAGUGAAUAUCCGUAGAGAUCGGAUAUUUGUGCGGUUCUGUUAGGACCUCAUCAG